ACGGGUGAGUAACGCGUGGGAAUCUACCGUGCCCUGCGGAAUAGCUCCGGGAAACUGGAAUUAAUACCGCAUACGCCCUACGGGGGAAAGAUUUAUCGGGGUAUGAUGAGCCCGCGUUGGAUUAGCUAGUUGGUGGGGUAAAGGCCUACCAAGGCGACGAUCCAUAGCUGGUCUGAGAGGAUGAUCAGCCACAUUGGGACUGAGACACGGCCCAAACUCCUACGGGAGGCAGCAGUGGGGAAUAUUGGACAAUGGGCGCAAGCCUGAUCCAGCCAUGCCGCGUGAGUGAUGAAGGCCUUAGGGUUGUAAAGCUCUUUCACCGGAGAAGAUAAUGACGGUAUCCGGAGAAGAAGCCCCGGCUAACUUCGUGCCAGCAGCCGCGGUAAUACGAAGGGGGCUAGCGUUGUUCGGAAUUACUGGGCGUAAAGCGCACGUAGGCGGAUAUUUAAGUCAGGGGUGAAAUCCCAGAGCUCAACUCUGGAAUGGCCCUUUGAUACUGGGUAUCUUGAGUAUGGAAGAGGUAAGUGGAAUUCCGAGUGUAGAGGUGAAAUUCGUAGA
rnacentral:rRNA from 3 species